rnacentral:rRNA from 1 species
UACGGAGGGUGCGAGCGUUGUCCGGAAUCACUGGGCGUAAAGGGCGCGUAGGCGGCCUGAUAAGUAGGGGGUGAAAUCCUGCGGCUUAACCGCAGGGCUGCCUUCUAAACUGUCGGGCUUGAGCACAGUAGAGGCAGGUGGAAUUCCCGGUGUAGCGGUGGAAUGCGUAGAUAUCGGGAGGAACAUCCGUGGCGAAGGCGGCCACCUGGACCAACAUUGACGCUGAGGCACGAAAGCGUGGGGAGCAAACAGG